GGGUUCGCGGCCUAUCAGGUUGUUGGUGGGGUAACGGCCCACCAAGCCGAUGACGGGUAGCUGGUCUGAGAGGACGACCAGUCAGAGGGGGACUGCGACACGGCCCCCACUCCUACGGGAGGCAGCAGCAGGGAAUCUUGGGCAAUGGGCGAAAGCCUGACCCAGCGACGCCGCGUGGGGGAGGAAGGCCUUCGGGUUGUAAACCCCUUUUCCAGGGGAAGGGACGGUACCCUGGGAAUAAGCCUCGGCUAACUACGUGCCAGCAGCCGCGGUAAUACGUAGGAGGCAAGCGUUGUCCGGAUUUACUGAGCGUAAAGGGCGUGUAGGCGGCCAAGUAAGUCUCCCGUGAAAUCUCCCGGCUUAACUGGGAGGGGUCAGGGGAUACUGCUAGGCUUGAGGACAGCAGAGGAGGGUGGAAUUCCCGAUGUAGCGGUGACAUGCGUAGAU
rnacentral:rRNA from 1 species